GCGUAGCUCAACCGGUAGAGCGUGACAUUAACACCGUCACAGUUAUGGGUUUAAUUCCCACUCGGCCGACCCA